rnacentral:rRNA from 1 species
CAAUAGCGUAUAUUAAAGUUGUUGCAGUUAGAACGCCCGUAGUCGGAUUUCGGGGCGGGCCGACCGGUCUGCCGAUGGGUACGCACUGGUCGGCGCGUCCUUCCUUCCGGAGACCGUGCCUACUCUUAACUGAGCGGGGGCGGGAGACGGAUCGUUUACUUUGAAAAAAUCAGAGUGUUUCAAGCAGGCAGCUCGCUCUUGCAUGGAUUAGCAUGGGAUAAUGAAAUAGGACUUUGGUGCUAUUUUGUUGGUUUCGAACACCGAAGUAAUGAUUAAAAGGGACAGUCAGGGGCACUCGUAUUCCGCAGAGAGAGGUGAAAUUCUCAGACCCGCGGAAGACGAACCACUGCGAAAGCAUUUGCCAGGGAUGUUUUCACUGA